GUGUCUGCAGCGUGAGAGGGGGCGUCCGCGGGCAAGGGGCGUCCUCUGUGUGUGGGAAGUCCAUGCAGUCAGGAGGCAUCCGCCAUGUGAGGGGCGUUGCGACACAGGAAAUGGACCCAUCCAAAGCCGUUUGGGGUCUUCUCAAGGGUCAUUUAAGAUGAAGAGCAACUUGAGAUCGCCCAUCUGUUGGAGAGCUGCACGUGCUGAGAGAGGAUAAGAAACCGCAGCUCGCACAGCCAUGGUCUUCACGUGGUCGCUGCACGUGAAGAUUUGCCGUUAUCUGUUGCUUCCGAAAGCAAGGGUGAGGGGAGCGGAACUGGGUGUUGUCCGGGUCUACGGUCAGAACAGGCACUAGGGAGGGAGUCCUGCAGGGAGGUGGGGCCAGGCCUUGUCUCUGUGACAGUGAACGUCCCUGUCCAUGUCGGUAUUUCUCAGACAAGCCACCUCCUUCUACCCCCGCGGUGGUGCAAGGGGAGGCUUUAGUCCAGGAUAACAAAUUCUGAACCAGCUGCCGCGUCUGGAGCCCCUGAGGGCUUAUGCACUGGUGACCAGGGAGUUUCCUGGCUUAUCACAUCCGAGGCCGACUUUCGGGCUGCAGUGGGGUGUCUGAGCCGCUGGAGUGGGUGGAGGAACUGCUUCUCUGCGGGGCGCUGUGUUGAGGUGAGAGGGAGAGCAGGUCCUUCUGCUUCUGAAGCAUGAAACUACCCCACACCUGCGGCAGGGCGUGCAAUGCCACAGUGGCCUGGAAAACCCACGAGUGACAAGUGCUGGGCACAGGCCAGGUCCGGGGCUGUCACGGGCAGAGCCGCGGCCCGGCGUGCAGGUGGGAAGGAGGUCUCAGGUAACUCUCAGCAUUCGCGUGAUUCUGUCCUCUGUGGACUGGGGCAGGUGCUUCCUCUACCUCCCAGUGGCCUCCCUAAUUCCAGAAGAGUAAGAACAGGGGAGGGGAAGCCGGUGCAGGGGCUCCCACCUGCUCCCUCCAGGCCAGAGGUGCUGCCUCGGUCCUUCACUUCCAGCCAGGCCAUGCCUAGCAGGCUUCCAUCCAGUCUAAGCAUGGCAGCGCUUGGCCUGCCUCAGGCCUGUGUCCUCGGGCAUUGUCCCCUCCUGUGUCUGCCCUUGUCUGAGGAGCAUUUUCCGUCCUCACUCCAAGUCCCUGAGAGUCUGCCUGGCGCCCUGACCCAUUCUGCUGGCCCAGCCAGUCCACACCAGGGAAGCUCCGGGGUGGGCCGGGGUGGGCCGUGCCCUCGAGGAAUCCUCAUGGCCCAGAUGAUAGCUGUGGAUGUGGGGACCGCGUGGACGGUGGUGGGUGAGGCCAGGGUCCCCACAGCGAGGGCUUAUAGGUCUUGGUGCUGUUUCCAUGUGGAGGGGAGCCAAGAUCUAAGGUAUGGCCCAGGCCCGAGAUCGGGUCACUCCUGUCCACCCUGCCUGUCUGCUGUGUGCUUGGGGACGUGGAGGCAGCCCUGCUGAGGUCCCUGCAUCCUCUGCUACCUUUGCAGACCUCGGCACCCUGUGAUGUUACUACCCUGAGUGCCCUGGGGCCCGGCUGGAGUAAGCAUCCCCCUGAAUUCCCUCUUUCACUCAAGCUCUAGAAUUGGGUGCUACUCUGUGCCAGGUGGCGGGGAUAGACCCCACUGCCCAGCUGAUGCUCUCUGGCCCUGGGGAUGCCUGGCCAGGUUCAUGCUGUGUCCACCUCGCUCCAUCCACACCCCUCCAUCACACUUCACCCGGGGCCUGGGCCAGAGACGCAUCCGAGAUCCCUUCUGGGAACAAUGGCCUCAAAGAAUGGGGAGCAGCGAGGGCUGCUGGACGCCAAGUCCUUCUGGAUCUUUCUGGCCAGGCUCCUCCCCGGCAUCUGGGCUCAGUGGGGGAUGGUCUGCCCCCGCAUUCCCGCAGACCCUGGCCCCUGGCAGGGCCCCCAGUUCCCACCUGCCCUAUUUCCCGCCUAGUGUAACUAUGCUGUAGAAAUAUAUUUUGGCCACGCCCUGCAUGAAGGUUCCAGUCUCCGUGUCUGUGGGAAGGGCUAACCUGCAGCAAGAAGUGGUCCCUGGGAUGGAGAGAUCUGGACACAGUAGAGGUUUGUGUCCUGCUCAUGGAAUGGCUGUCAGGUGAGCCUGGCUUCUUGGCACUCAUGCCCUUGUGGUUUCUUCUUCGUCAUCCCAGGUGAGUCUGCGCGGCCGACAGCAUGUGGUAGAGUGCUGGUAGGUCACUUCCGAAACUGGGCUGGACAUGCCAGGUCUCCCUCCUGGUUGCUCUCUGUCUCCUUGGGCAAAGCCAGCAGCCAAGUCCUGGAAACUCGUGAUGUGAGAACAGAGCCAUCUCCCCAGGUGCACAGGACUCCAGACAGCAGCCUGCAAGGACCAAAGCCUGCUAGUAGCUGUGCAGGACCCUCCAAGGGUCUCCUGGGGCCGUGGAGCCCUCGCUCGGCAGCAGACUCUGGGGGCCUUGGGAGGAGUGGCUGAGUUUUGCUGGGAGAAUCACAGAAUCACUGGGGCCUGAGGGCUCGGGACGGCCCCAGACAAGGAGGUCCUCAAAGCUGUGUGUUGUCCUCCCAUGCCGAGCCAGGUGUGUCCAUGUGGCCAGAGCGCACAGUGGAUGCCGCUCCUGAGUCCAGGGCCUGAAGGACCCUCUGGGUCACUCUCUCUGCCUUGGGUCACUCAUCCUGAAGGAAGCCAGCCACUGUGUGCAGGGCCCUGCGUGGAGAGGCCCUCAUGGUGAGGAGACGUCCGGCCCGCAGCCACGAGGAGCCGCGACCUGCCAGCACUGGGGGAAAGUGGCCUCAUGGCCAUGCCCGUGUAUGGCGGCUGCUGAGGAGAGCAACCUGGCUGGGUUCCAGAGGACAAAGCAGGUCAAGAAAGAGACGGAGAAGGGGGAGCAGCUUGGCAAGUGGCCCCACGGUGGGCCCCUGGGGAUCCUCCUGGAAGCUGCAGCAGCCGUGCCACCAUGGAGGGCACCUUGUCCUCACCAGAUCCUGUGGCCUUCCUGGAGGGUAGAGUGUGUGCUGGCACCAAGGCCAUGGAAAGGCCAGCCUCAGUCGGGGGUGUGGAUACCCACCUGGAGGGGCCUUUGAGGCUGCCUUUCCAGCAGGUGGUGACCAGGCAGGGAUGGAUCAAUGAGCAAGGGCAGCCCUGGGCAUCCCGGCACCUGGGAGAGAAGGCCCGGCAGGGCCCUGUGUCCCCACAGAGCAGAAUGAGCUCCUGGAAGCGAGUGGCACCUGGGUGUGUAUUUAGGGUCUCACUGGAGGCAUGCUGAGUGUUCAUGCCCCUCAGGGCCCUCUGUUUGGUGAACCCAUUGGAAUGAACUGUGCGAGGAAAUACUUUCCAGUCCCUGGGGAGUGUUGAAGCAAAUCAGCCGCUUCCCGCCACCAAGGCCCAGAGCCCUAUCCCCACACACGGGGAGAGAAGCUUUCGGCAGAGGAAGUAACAGCAGAAAGGAAACAGGAUGGACGGAGGGCUUCCCUGGGACUCCUGGGGAAUUGCGUUUCUCCUGUGUUCUCUGUGCCUCUUCGUAAGCAUUGAAAACCUCAGUGUGGAGCCUGAAAGGGGCAUCAGGCCUCCUGGGAGCUCCUCACUGCGCAGCCCCAACAGCUGAGGAAACAAGAGUCUGACCCAGGGUUCCUCCACAGCUGGGAGACCACAUGUGGGGGCAGAGCCGGCGUGAGGAGGUCUCCAGGGGGAACAGCCACGGGCACCCAGACUGGCUCAGGACCGAACAGCUGCCCCUGUGGCCCCGUCUUCCCCAGCCCCGGCCCACCUCUAUCGCUGGUUCUCAGUGUGGUCCAAUUAACAAGAGGAUGAUGAAUGCAGGGAGGGAAGGAGCCAGCCUGCGAGGACCUUUAGCCCCGACCUGAUUCUCAAAGAGGCUUCCAAGUUUUCUUUGAGUGACACCUGGGUCAUGGACUCCUUCCUCAGCACCCUGCUUUCGAAAGGGCACCUAUGCAGGUCUUGUCCUUAUUGAGGGGGAAGGUUAGGAGAACCUUCUUCAUUCUUAAUCUUCACCCUCAUCCUUCAUGCGCAUCCUCAUCCACAUCCUAGGCCUUCAUCCUCAUCCUUCAUCCUCAUCCUCAACCCCAUUCAAAUCCUCAUCCUUCAUCAUCAUCUUCAUC